ACUACUUUCUGGAAAAAAAGGAAGAAAAAACGAAGACGACUAGAAGAGAAGGACGACAACUAGGAGACAAAAACUCAUCGAGAAGUAGAAGAAGAAGCGGCACAAUCUUGGAAAGGAAGAGCCCAUGCAUACACACACACACGCAAUUCCAUCAUCUGGGUCUCUCUUUUUCCUUCUAAUGCUCCGCUCAUGCUAUUCGGACGUACGGACCCUAAAGGGACCUUCUUCAUUCAAAAACGAAAAGCAGCGGACACGCAAUUCCCCUCAAAUAUGCAUGAAAUAUUCCGAGUUAAAGUGAAUAUCGAAGGGAAAGGACAACGGCAGCAGAAGCAAUGGAGAAGAGCAAAUGUUUCCAGGAAGUUUAUACUGUGAGGGAAAUGUUGGCAUUGUAUUAGCUCAAUUUGAAGAAAUGGCCACUAUUUGGAAUGGGGUAUUGUCACUUCAGAAACCUCAACAUUUCUAGAUCAGAAUGUUUCAAUAAUACAGUUUUAAAACGCGGACUACAGUACUUCAAACACUACCCUAAUCUUUUCUAAUACGACUCUGCUGUGUUAUUUCAUUAGCCAAUAACUUUGAUUAUUGUUCAAACGACACAUCUCCAAGAAUCCUUUCGAUAAAUCUAUCAGACCAUUAACGCCGUUUCCUCCAAUUCCUUUUCAACCGAGCUGGCUAAUGAAUCCAAGAGAACACAUCUGGCGACGGAGCAUCUAUAAAACGGCCGCCCGUCUGCUGUUCUCAAUUCCGUCUGUUAUUUGGUGCGAACACAACACGAUGGCGGAUGGAAUGAAGGGUCCCAUAAUACUCGAAUGCGCAAUUUGUAUUCGUAUGGGCGGUAGUGCAAUAAAAUAGGCCGCUACGAAGUGACUAGAAAAAGGUCCAUAAAACCUAGUGUGCUCUGUUACCGAUUGCUGGAUGACUGGGGCACUAAAAAAAAUUGAUUGUAUAAUUUGAAUGAGAUGUAACAAUCGGUAAAAAUUUGUUUUUCAAAAAGAAGUAUGACUGUGGUUGAACUUUAAAAGAACAAUUGUACAGUGCAUUUUUGAUCUACGAAACCGUCACAACUUUCCUAACUAUUAUCUCCGUGUAUGAAUACCCUACUGGCUGAUCACUUCUACCUUCUACCUUUGUGCACAAAAUAACCGGCUUGUUGCCUACCGAUAGGCGGCACUCAAGUGCGUGUUCCGGCCUUCGCGCAUCCUUAUCACUUUUCCUCUACUCAAAUACAACACAACUAUCCUCAGUCAAUCGAUCCGAGCAUUACUCGAGCUCUUUCUCUCUCUCUCUAACUAUCUUCAAUCACGUUUUGAAUCAACGAAUCUCGUCAGGAAACCGAUCGCAAUGACGACAGGAGGGUAGAACGAAGAUGAGGACAGCCCUGCAGUAGCAGCAGCAGCUGCCCGGUCCUUUGUCUUCGGCGCCAUGUGUUGCCUUCCAUCUCUCUUCUCCUUCACAAACGCCCUUGUUACCAUCAUCAUCACACCAUCUGGCGGCACUUUCCCAUUCAACACCAGAUGCCCUCUCUCUGUGUCUCCUACAGUUCAAGUUAUCCCUAGCAGUGGGUAAGAUCAUAUUCUUGUAUUGCAACUGUCAACUAAUCCUAUACAACACAUGUCUUUUGUUUGCCGCCUUUUCUAAGAUGUAUAUGAAUCCAGAACCAACGGCACCUGCUCAGCCGAUAGUAAACCAGUGUGUCCGAUGCGUUUCUGGUUCUGCACCUGUUGCGUUCUAUCUUCUCCGAUGCUUCCUAUCUUCUUCAGAUGAUCAAAAAAUCGAAAGGCGCUAGACGACGAGGUCGACGACACCCCGGGAGGCAAGUGAUUCCUACCAGACGUCCGACCGCCCUUCGCACCUUUACAACCACUUUUUGUAUGUGAGGCUAGUGUUUUGAGAAGUUACGAAGAUGAUCGAGGGUGCGAAAGAUAAGGUACCGAAGGAGAGAGAAACGAGAAAAUGAGGGAAAAUGAGUGAAAUUGAGCGAAUUGGAGAAAAGAUGAUAUCUUCGGUUUCAAAUCUAACUCGAAAACUUUCGAACAAUGUACACAGGGGACUCUUGAACUGCAAACGACCAUCAGAGCAUCAGAUACAUAACAUAAACAAUUAUUUUCAAUUCCAAUUUCAAUUGUAUUCAAACUUCAGUCCCUGGAAACUAUUUCUCUAAAUCGACUAUAUGAAUUAGGUUUAACGAAGAAAUAAUAAAUUGUCAAAACACC
ensembl:ncRNA F16A11.5 ncRNA